rnacentral:lncRNA from 1 species
GACUUGCCAGAGUGCUUAUAGCCACACCUGGAAGUCAGGAAUGUCUCCACAUUAUUUCAGGGGAUUUUAGGGGUCUUGUAGGCUAGUCACAAGGAAGACGACAUAACCAAAAGCACAGUAAAGUUUUCGGGUUAGGUUCACUAUGGGCUUAACAGCUAGAAGGAUUGGGGGGAAAGCUUUAGAUUUAAGUAGGAUCACCAGCAAACAGCUUUGUUUCAGAAUGGCUAUAAGUAGGUCUAAAUGUCUUCCCAAAAAAUUGGUGUGUUUUUUGCCCAGGACAAAAGUCUUAAAGGAAGUUAUUUAACUUUUUGUUUUUAAAAUGGGCUUAUUGUUAAUGCCUUAUUUAUAAAAUGUUAAAACAAAAUAGAAUGUGCUGGGGGUGGGAGCUGGGCGUGUUUUCCAGGGCUGAUAACAUUGAAAACUGGUUCAUCCUCUAGUACUGAGUGGUUUUCAAUGGCAUGGCUAGUCAGAUUCAUGAUUUUUAAGUAUAGGUGUAGAUUGGAGCAUUUAUUACAUAUUUUACUGUUCAAUGUCUUAAUGUGGACCUUUUAUUUUGUAAAUAAUUAUGGAAAUGAUUGUGGGGCUUGGAAAAAAUUACCUUUGAAGUUUUAAAAGACAGUCCACUUUUUAGCAUGUGUGUUGUGUCCAGCCUGUGGUUGUCUUAACUAAUAAAUGUGAUUUUUCUCCCC